rnacentral:rRNA from 4 species
UAUGGAGAGUUUGAUCCUGGCUCAGGAUGAACGCUGGCGGUAUGCUUAACACAUGCAAGUCGAACGGUCUCUUCGGAGAUAGUGGCGGACGGGUGAGUAACGCGUGAGAACAUGCCUUUAGAUUGGGGACAACAGUUGGAAACGACUGCUAAUACCGAAUGUGCCUUAGGGUGAAAGAUUUAUUGUCUAGAGAUUGGCUCGCGUCAGAUUAGCUAGUUGGAGUGGUAACGGCACACCAAGGCGACGAUCUGUACUUGGUCUGAGAGGAUGACCAGGCACACUGGAACUGAGACACGGUCCAGACUCCUACGGGAGGCAGCAGUGGGGAAUUUUCCGCAAUGGGCGAAAGCCUGACGGAGCAAUACCGCGUGAGGGAGGACGGCUUUUGGGUUGUAAACCUCUUUUAUCAGGGAAGAAUCGAUGACGGUACCUGAUGAAUCAGCAUCGGCUAACUCCGUGCCAGCAGCCGCGGUAAUACGGAGGAUGCAAGCGUUAUCCGGAAUUAUUGGGCGUAAAGCGUCCGUAGGUGGUUUAUCAAGUCUGCUGUCAAAGCGUGCGGCUUAACCGCAUAAGGGCAGUGGAAACUGAUGAACUAGAGUGCGAUAGGGGUAACAGGAAUUCCCAGUGUAGCGGUGAAAUGCGUAGAUAUUGGGAAGAACACCAGCGGCGAAAGCGUGUUACUGGGUCUGCACUGACACUGAGGGACGAAAGCUAGGGGAGCGAAAGGGAUUAGAUACCCCUGUAGUCCUAGCCGUAAACGAUGACAACUAGGCGUGGUUCGUAUCGACCCGAGCCGUGCCGUAGCCAACGCGUUAAGUUGUCCGCCUGGGGAGUACGCACGCAAGUGUGAAACUCAAAGGAAUUGACGGGGGCCCGCACAAGCGGUGGAGUAUGUGGUUUAAUUCGAUGCAACGCGAAGAACCUUACCAAGGCUUGACAUCCUCGGAACCCUGAUGAAAGUUAGGGGUGCCUUCGGGAGCCGAGAGACAGGUGGUGCAUGGCUGUCGUCAGCUCGUGUCGUGAGAUGUUGGGUUAAGUCCCGCAACGAGCGCAACCCACGUUUUUAGUUGCCAGCAUUCAGUUGGGCACUCUAGAGAGACUGCCGGUGACAAACCGGAGGAAGGUGUGGAUGACGUCAAGUCAGCAUGCCCCAUACGCCUUGGGCUACACACGUACUACAAUGCGUCGGACAAAGAGCAGCCAGCCAGCGAUGGUGAGCCAAUCUCAUAAACCGGCGCUCAGUUCAGAUUGCAGGCUGCAACUCGCCUGCAUGAAGGCGGAAUCGCUAGUAAUCGCAGGUCAGCAUACUGCGGUGAAUACGUUCCCGGGCCUUGUACACACCGCCCGUCACACCAUGGGAGUUGGUCACGCCCGAAGUCGUUACUCUAACUGCUUGCAGAGGAGGACGCCGAAGGUGGGGCUGAUGACUGGGGUGAAGUCGUAACAAGGUAGCCGUACCGGAAGGUGUGGCUGGAUCACCUCCUUA